UACGGGAGGCAGCAGUGGGGAAUAUUGGGCAAUGGGCGAAAGCCUGACCCAGCGAUGCCGCGUGAGGGAUGAAGGCCUUCGGGUUGUAAACCUCUGUCAGGAGGGACGAUGGGACACUUGUGUCUUGACGGUACCUCCAGAGGAAGCCCCGGCUAACUCCGUGCCAGCAGCCGCGGUAAUACGGAGGGGGCAAGCGUUGCUCGGAAUUACUGGGCGUAAAGGGUCCGCAGGCUGUCAGGCAAGUUGGUUGUGAAAGCUCAAGGCUUAACCUUGGAAUUGCAUCCAAAACUGCCUGACUAGAGUCCAAGAGAGGUUGGCGGAAUUCCCGGUGUAGCGGUGAAAUGCAUAGAUAUCGGGAGGAACACCAGAGGCGAAGGCGGCCAACUGGCUUGGAACUGACGCUCAGGGACGAAAGCGUGGGUAGCAAACCGGAUUAGAUACCCGGGUAGUCCACGCCCUAAACGAUGGAUGCUAGGUAGGGGGAAUUU
rnacentral:rRNA from 1 species